AGGCUCAUAUGACAUUAACAGACAAGACACUUUUCAGAAAGACAGGCAACGUGUUGGACCUUCCGGAGCUUCUCAGAAGACAGAGGGUUUUCUUUUGAGGCUGUUGUACAGUGGCCUGAUUAUAGCUCACUGUAGCCUCGAAAUUCUGGGCCGAAAUGAUCCGCCUGCCUCAGCCUCCAAAGUAGCUGAGACUACAGACUCUGGAAGUCUCUCUUUGGCGAACACCUAGCCCCCAACUCCCAGGGCACUUCCCAGACAGCCAAUGCCACAUCCCAGGCAGCCCCUGCUCUGCCCUUGGGGUCUGUGCCUGGCAGAAGGGCGGCAGACCCUCGGCCCCUCUUGGCCUGGGCCCCAGCUCCUCCGGGCCCUGGAACCAGCAGAAACACCCACCCUGCGCCUGAUGGACUGGACAUGCUUGUUCCCAUUGGUGAUGGUGUGUUGGGAGGGAACUGUUUUAGAAACCAAUGUAAAUCUGUGUCUACAUCA
rnacentral:lncRNA from 10 species